rnacentral:lncRNA from 1 species
CCAUGCCCGGCUAAUUUUGUAUUUUUAGUAGAGACAAGUUUUCUACAUGUUGGUCAGGAUGGUCUCGAACUCCCAACCUCAGGUGAUCCACGCACCUUGGCCACCCAAAGUGCUGGGAUUACAGGUGUGAGCCACCAUGGCCGGCCUACCCUGCUCCCCUACUAAGCUCAUGCAUGUCUCCCUGCCUUUGCCCAUGCUUAUUCCCUGUGCUGCCUGCAGUGCCCUUCCUGUUGGUUCUUUCUUUCUUUUUUUUUUAAAUAUUAAAACUCCUAUUCAUCCUUCAAUGCCUAGGUCAAAUGGCACCCCUGUUCGUAGCUUUCCUUCAUGCCUCCUUAUACUCCUGAUAAAAGAAUUAUUGCUCCUACCACCACCCUAGAGGGCCUGGAAAGGGCCUAAAAUGUAAGCACUUACAGAUCAAAAUGUGGUUACUAUCAACUCCUAAUUAUCCAUAGGUUGAGAACUGCUUUUCUGAUUAUAGAAGUGACAGGCCAUUGCAAACCUGGGACCAACCACCUCCCCAAGCAGUAACUAUUAUUAACAAUUGGAGA